rnacentral:rRNA from 1 species
GAUGAACGCUGGCGGCGUGCCUAAUACAUGCAAGUCGAGCGAACGGACGAGAAGCUUGCUUUUCUGAUGUUAGCGGCGGACGGGUGAGUAACACGUGGAUAACCUACCUAUAAGACUGGGAUAACUUCGGGAAACCGGAGCUAAUACCGGAUAAUAUUUUGAACCGCAUGGUUCAAAAGUGAAAGACGGUCUUGCUGUCACUUAUAGAUGGAUCCGCGCUGCAUUAGCUAGUUGGUAAGGUAACGGCUUACCAAGGCAACGAUGCAUAGCCGACCUGAGAGGGUGAUCGGCCACACUGGAACUGAGACACGGUCCAGACUCCUACGGGAGGCAGCAGUAGGGAAUCUUCCGCAAUGGGCGAAAGCCUGACGGAGCAACGCCGCGUGAGUGAUGAAGGUCUUCGGAUCGUAAAACUCUGUUAUUAGGGAAGAACAUAUGUGUAAGUAACUGUGCACAUCUUGACGGUACCUAAUCAGAAAGCCACGGCUAACUACGUGCCAGCAGCCGCGGUAAUACGUAGGUGGCAAGCGUUAUCCGGAAUUAUUGGGCGUAAAGCGCGCGUAGGCGGUUUUUUAAGUCUGAUGUGAAAGCCCACGGCUCAACCGUGGAGGGUCAUUGGAAACUGGAAAACUUGAGUGCAGAAGAGGAAAGUGGAAUUCCAUGUGUAGCGGUGAAAUGCGCAGAGAUGUGGAGGAACACCAGUGGCGGAGGCGACUUUCUGGUCUGUAACUGACGCUGAUGUGCGAAAGCGUGGGGAUCAAACAGGAUUAGAUACCCUGGUAGUCCACGCCGUAAACGAUGAGUGCUAAGUGUUAGGGGGUUUCCGCCCCUUAGUGCUGCAGCUAACGCAUUAAGCACUCCGCCUGGGGAGUACGACCGCAAGGUUGAAACUCAAAGGAAUUGACGGGGGCCCGCACAAGCGGUGGAGCAUGUGGUUUAAUUCGAAGCAACGCGAAGAACCUUACCAAAUCUUGACAUCCUUUGACAACUCUAGAGAUAGAGCCUUCCCCUUCGGGGGACAAAGUGACAGGUGGUGCAUGGUUGUCGUCAGCUCGUGUCGUGAGAUGUUGGGUUAAGUCCCGCAACGAGCGCAACCCUUAAGCUUAGUUGCCAUCAUUAAGUUGGGCACUCUAAGUUGACUGCCGGUGACAAACCGGAGGAAGGUGGGGAUGACGUCAAAUCAUCAUGCCCCUUAUGAUUUGGGCUACACACGUGCUACAAUGGACAAUACAAAGGGCAGCGAAACCGCGAGGUCAAGCAAAUCCCAUAAAGUUGUUCUCAGUUCGGAUUGUAGUCUGCAACUCGACUACAUGAAGCUGGAAUCGCUAGUAAUCGUAGAUCAGCAUGCUACGAAGAAUACGUUCCCGGGUCU